rnacentral:snRNA from 8 species
AUACUUACCUGGCAAGGGAGACACCGUGAUCAAGAAGGCGGUUCACCUAGGGCGAGGCUCACCCAUUGCACUCCGGCUGUGCUGACCCCUGCGAAUUUCCCAAAUGUGGAAAUCUCUAUUGCAUAAUUUCUGGUAAUGGGGGACUGUGUUCGCGCUCUCCCCUG